UGGGGAAUUUUGGACAAUUGGGCGAAAGCCUGAUCCAGCAAUGCCGCGUGUGUGAAGAAGGCCUUCGGGUUGUAAAGCACUUUUGUCCGGAAAGAAAUCCUUGGCUCUAAUACAGUCGGGGGAUGACGGUACCGGAAGAAUAAGCACCGGCUAACUACGUGCCAGCAGCCGCGGUAAUACGUAGGGUGCAAGCGUUAAUCGGAAUUACUGGGCGUAAAGCGUGCGCAGGCGGUUUGCUAAGACCGAUGUGAAAUCCCCGGGCUCAACCUGGGAACUGCAUUGGUGACUGGCAGGCUAGAGUAUGGCAGAGGGGGGUAGAAUUCCACGUGUAGCAGUGAAAUGCGUAGAGAUGUGGAGGAAUACCGAUGGCGAAGGCAGCCCCCUGGGCCAAUACUGACGCUCAUGCACGAAAGCGUGGGGAGCAAAACAGGAUUAGAUACCCCUGGUAGUCCACGCCCUAAACGAUGUCAACUAGUUGUCGGGGAUUCAUUUCCUUAGUAACGUAGCUAACGCGUGAAGUUGACCGCCUGGGGAGUA
rnacentral:rRNA from 1 species